GGUCAAGUUUUUAAGGGCACACGGUGGAUGCCUUGGCAUCAGGAGCCGAUGAAGGACGUAGGAAUCUGCGAUAAGCCUGGGG
rfam:Arthrobacter cupressi strain SW1 SW1_scaffold_33, whole genome shotgun sequence.